GUGAGGAAUUUUCCGCAAUGGGCGAAAGCCUGACGGAGCAAUGCCGCGUGAAGGAUGAAGGCCUAUGGGUUGUAAACUUCUUUUCUCAGAAAAGAAUUAUGACGGUAUCUGAGGAAUAAGCAUCGGCUAACUCUGUGCCAGCAGCCGCGGUAAGACAGAGGAUGCAAGCGUUAUCCGGAAUGAUUGGGCGUAAAGCGUCUGUAGGUUGUUUAAAAAGUAUUCUGUCAAAGAUUAGGGCUUAACCCUAGAUAGGAAGAAUAAACUUUUAAGCUAGAGUUUGGUAGAGGCAGAGGGAAUUCCCGGUGGAGCGGUGAAAUGCGUAGAUAUCGGGAGGAACACCAAAGGCGAAGGCACUCUGCUGGGCCAAUACUAACACUGAGAGACGAAAGCGAGGGGAGCAAAUGGGAUUAGAAACCCCUGUAGUCC
rnacentral:rRNA from 1 species